UGUGCCUAUACAUGCAGUCGAACGCGUUGGCCCAAUUGAUUGAUGGUGCUUGCACCUGAUUGAUUUUGGUCGCCAACGAGUGGCGGACGGGUGAGUAACACGUAGGUAACCUGCCCAGAAGCGGGGGACAACAUUUGGAAACAGAUGCUAAUACCGCAUAACAACGUUGUUCGCAUGAACAACGCUUAAAAGAUGGCUUCUCGCUAUCACUUCUGGAUGGACCUGCGGUGCAUUAGCUUGUUGGUGGGGUAACGGCCUACCAAGGCGAUGAUGCAUAGCCGAGUUGAGAGACUGAUCGGCCACAAUGGGACUGAGACACGG
rnacentral:rRNA from 2 species